CCAGGAACGACUGUGUUGAUCUCCAGCUCUAGAAUCAACACCACUAAAGUUAGCAUGACAAGGAACGAGCUCGUUGAAACAAAAGUCGGAUCCGAGCACGGCGUCCCACCUCCUCCAUGAAUCCGCUGAAAGAGCCGCCAAUAGUUGGAAGAGCUUUCCCGAAUUAGUCCCCCCACCAUGUCGAGAGGCAGCUUGCUUCAGAGAACAUGGGAUAUGUGCUAUU
rnacentral:lncRNA from 1 species